ACUCCUACGGGAGGCAGCAGUGGGGAAUUUUGGACAAUGGGCGAAAGCCUGAUCCAGCCAUGCCGCGUGAGUGAAGAAGGCCUUCGGGUUGUAAAGCUCUUUCGGCGGGGACGAAAUGGCGCGGGGUAACAUCCCGCGUCGAUGACGGUACCCGAAGAAGAAGGACCGGCUAACUACGUGCCAGCAGCCGCGGUAAUACGUAGGGUCCAAGCGUUAAUCGGAAUUACUGGGCGUAAAGCGUGCGUAGGCGGUCUCGCAAGUCCGAUGUGAAAUCCCCGAGCUUAACUUGGGAACUGCGUUGGAAACUAUGAGGCUAGAGUGCGGCAGAGGGGGGUGGAAUUCCAGGUGUAGCAGUGAAAUGCGUAGAGAUCUGGAGGAACACCGAUGGCGAAGGCAGCCCCCUGGGCUAGCACUGACGCUGAUACACGAAAGCGUGGGGAGCAAACAGGAUUAGAUACCCUGGUAGUCCACGCCCUAAACGAUGGCGACUAGUUGUUGGAGGAUGAACUCCUUUAGUAACGCAGCUAACGCGUGAAGUCGCCCGCCUGGGGAGUACGGUCGCAAGAUUAAAACUUAAAGAAUUGACGG
rnacentral:rRNA from 1 species